rnacentral:rRNA from 1 species
UUUUUGUGGAGAGUUUGAUCCUGGCUCAGGAUGAACGCUGGCGGCGUGCUUAACACAUGCAAGUCGAACGGAAAGGCUCUAGCUUGCUAGGGUGCUCGAGUGGCGAACGGGUGAGUAACACGUGGGUGAUCUGCCCUGUACUUCGGGAUAAGCUUGGGAAACUGGGUCUAAUACCGGAUAUUCACGUAUCUUUUGUGGGUGUGUGGAAAGGUUUUGUGCUGGUAUGGGAUGAGCUUGCGGCCUAUUAGU